rnacentral:rRNA from 1 species
GGGUGCGACCAUACCAGCACUAACGCACCGGAUCUCAUCAGAACUCCGAAGUUAAGCGUGCUUGGGCGAGAGUAGUACUGGGAUGGGUGACUCCCUGGGAAGUCCUCGUGUUGAACCCC